GCUGACAUGAUAUGUUUUACAAGUUCUUCGUCUGAAAGAGCUGAUUUCAGUUUUAAAUGCGAAAUAAUCAAUUGAGUUCGUUGCGUGCAAGCAGAAUCAGACAUCACUACUGUGACUGACCAAAAUUGUUCCGCAUGUUAAAGUAGUUCUGCUGCGUUCAGGGUUUUCUUACGCAUUUAUUUUCAUUAUUUAGUACGAUAACAUCAUAUAAUACAUUUUUUCUUUAAGUAGCCUACGCACAUAUUUAAAUAACAGCUAUGAAGAUUUUAUAUUUUUGAACUGUUAGAAGGAUACACCCUCACAAAGCACACGUGGAGGAGCUGCGCAGUGCGCGUGACCGUGACAGGACCUCACCUCAGCAUUACCGCCAGUUUUUGGAUUAGAGGCGAAGCAGAUAAGUUGCAUGAACUGCCAAAAUCAAGAUCAGUGUGAAAAGAGAGAAAGAGGAUCAGAUGUUCCAUAAAGUUGAUUAGAAAACCUUGCCUGAUGAAGUGGACUGUACUGGUCUUCCAAGUACACCCUGCAUAAUUGUGUGUGGAUUUUCUCCUUUGACUGCAGAGUACUUUAUGUUGUCUGUGGACCAGGUCAUUGUUAACAGCCACAUCACCAUGUUCAGUGAUACUGUCAGGUUGAUGUUCGCCUCGUACUACUGCUUGAACAUUUCCUAUCCAGCUGACCAAGGAGCAACAUUGAAAUUUGUGCAGAGAUAAACCCAGAGAAGGGAUCCAAAAUUGAAAAGAGAACAUCAAGAAACCAAAAGGCGGACAGUCCAAAGGUUAUUUCUCUGUUUACUAAAAUUGCAGACUAUGAAUGGAUGGAGUAAAUCUACUCCCACAAUAUACUCCCCCCAUUAUCUUCUCUUAAAAUGUUUGGCUGUGUUACUGACUUGAAGUACAUUUGGUUCUGUUGUUUAAAAUUUUACUUUUUCAUUCGUAUUGUUGUAUGCAAGUAUUUUUAUAGUUGAGCAUCAGUUUUAUUGCAUGAAUUGUAUAAACCUGUCAGAUUUUGUAAAAACCUCUCAGAUUUUGUUCUCUUGUACUGCUACGUUGUUUUACCUAUGUCAUCAGUGAGAUUACGGUGAGUUUUAGCUUUUACAGACAAGUUUGAGAUUAUUGUUAUUAUUCUCCUGCAAGAAAUAAAAGCGAGUCUGUUUAACAAGA